CCUGGGGAGUACGGCCGCAAGGUUAAAACUCAAAUGAAUUGACGGGGGCCCGCACAAGCGGUGGAGCAUGUGGUUUAAUUCGAUGCAACGCGAAGAACCUUACCUGGUCUUGACAUCCACAGAACUUAGCAGAGAUGCUUUGGUGCCUUCGGGAACUGUGAGACAGGUGCUGCAUGGCUGUCGUCAGCUCGUGUUGUGAAAUGUUGGGUUAAGUCCCGCAACGAGCGCAACCCUUAUCCUUUGUUGCCAGCGGUCCGGCCGGGAACUCAAAGGAGACUGCCAGUGAUAAACUGGAGGAAGGUGGGGAUGACGUCAAGUCAUCAUGGCCCUUACGACCAGGGCUACACACGUGCUACAAUGGCAUAUACAAAGAGAAGCGACCUCGCGAGAGCAAGCGGACCUCAUAAAGUAUGUCGUAGUCCGGAUUGGAGUCUGCAACUCGACUCCAUGAAGUCGGAAUCGCUAGUAAUCGUAGAUCAGAAUGCUACGGUGAAUACGUUCCCGGGCCUUGUACACACCGCCCGUCACACCAUGGGAGUGGGUUGCAAAAGAAGUAGGUAGCUUAACCUUCGGGAGGGCGCUUACCACUUUGUGAUUCAUGACUGGGGUGAAGUCGUAACAAGGUAACCGUAGGGGAACCUGCGGUUGGAUCACCUCCUUA
rnacentral:rRNA from 1 species